GUUUUUCUCCCGGUGCAGGAAAACAUGAAGAACGGGGAAAGUAGCUGCCGCAUGCCAAUGUGAAACUCCGAGGAGUCUAGCCAUUCUGAUCUGGCCUUCCAGGUCAUUAGGAGGCUCUGCCAUCGUGUGAGGAGACAUUUGGUUUGUGACCCUGCCAGGGAAAGCCUGCUGUCUGGAGAGCACACUGGUCUCCAGCGUGGGGAGAGAGAGCACUUUCGGGCUUUGCUGAGGAGGGUCUUCAGAAAAAAGAGUACUGCCAACAAGAAGGCCCAAUCAAGAUCCUCCCACAACAAGAGCAGAUUGUGAGCGUGGCAAGCUCUAUGCUGAGCACUGGAAGGACAAAGAGAGAUUGGGCACAGACUUCUCACUGAUCCAGGUGAUGAAGAGCUCACAUCUGAGAGGAUGUGACCAUGGAUGACCCACCAGAAUGUCAUGGGAUCCAGCUACAGCCAAGGAAGCACAGAGCACCGUGGG
rnacentral:lncRNA from 1 species